rnacentral:rRNA from 1 species
GACGAACGCUGGCGGCGUGCUUAACACAUGCAAGUCGAGCGGUAAGGCCCUUUCGGGGGUACACGAGCGGCGAACGGGUGAGUAACACGUGGGUGACCUGCCCUCAGCUCUGGGAUAAGCCUGGGAAACCGGGUCUAAUACCGGAUAUGACUCCAUGACGCAUGUUGUGGGGUGGAAAGCCUUGUGCGGCUGAGGAUGGGCCCGCGGCCUAUCAGCUUGUUGGUGGGGUGAUGGCCUACCAAGGCGACGACGGGUAGCCGGCCUGAGAGGGCGACCGGCCACACUGGGACUGAGACACGGCCAGACUCCUACGGGAGGCAGCAGUGGGGAAUCUUGCGCAAUGGGCGAAAGCCUGACGCAGCGACGCCGCGUGAGGGAUGACGGCCU